CAGUGUUACAGCUGUUUUAGAAUUUGUCUAGCAGGUUUUAUGGAAGAUACCCAU
rnacentral:snRNA from 1 species